rnacentral:rRNA from 1 species
UACGAAGGGUGCAAACGUUGCUCGGAAUUAUUGGGCGUAAAGCGCACGUAGGCGGCUUAGCAAGUCGGAAGUGAAAGCCCUCGGCUCAACCAAGGAAGUGCUUUCGAAACUGCUGAGCUUGAGUACUUAAGAGGAUCGCGGAAUUCCCGGUGUAGAGGUGAAAUUCGUAGAUAUCAGGAGGAACACCGGUGGCGAAGGCGGGUCUCUGGGCAGUAACUGACGCUGGAGGAGCGAAAGCGUGGGGAGCGAACAGG